AUUGGAAUUUCAUUCAUCUACUGGAUUCUCCUUGCCAAGUAAUUUCUGGGAAUUCCUCAGUCUUGCUCACAUGUUGUACUACUCUCUCCUGGAUGUCACUUGUCACCUCUACCAGCCCUCCUUUCUCCAGAUGGCUUCUUCAUAACCACCAGGUCAGAAGAGGAUCCGUUCCAAUGAUUUUCCUAAAACAAUGGAAGUGUUUUCCAAAGCCUGGUGAAAUCCUGCUCACCCUGCAAGAUCUAUGUAGAGUGACUUUCUCUGUUCCUUGUCUGUUUCCCAUGCCCUCAAACACUCUUAUUAUAGAUGAAGCAAGCCUUUGCCAUCUCCAGGCUCUCCAUUGCCUUUGACUCCACUUCUGCCUGCUGAUCUGCAUUGCCUACCUCUGAUGUCAAUCCGUGUUGGUCCCCACCUGAAAGGCCACUUUCUUGUACUAAAGAGGAUGUACUAGCCUGGAUACCUCAAGUCUUUCUGUCUGUAAUUCUCAAAAUUCAGUCUUGGAAUAAAUAGUUCCCUUUUGAACUAUGCAGACCGCAUCAUUUGCAUUUCUUUUCUAGCUUUUGCUGUUCCUAUUGGCGACUGCACAAUUCUUAGCAACACUGAAGUGCUGGAGGUGAAGCUCUCCGUGUGUUGUCUUCAGAUGACGAAUGUAUUCUUCUGAUGACUUGGGACAAAUUCUCCCUCCAAAAUGCCACUGUCUGUGAAUACACCCUCCUGUAAAACUCUGGCCAUAGUACAGGGUGAAAGGUUUUAUGGACAAAAAACAAUGUUGCAGAUUACUCUCUUCUAGAUUACUCAAAAGUCCUCUCCUCUAUGGCAGCUUCCUAUAAUCCAAUCACAGUCCUUUCUGAGUCUUCCCACCUCACCUGGCUUCUGCAGCUGGAGUUAAACAUGAUUUGCUCUUUGCUUUCUUAGGCUUUUGUUACUGAAUUAUUUUAUGUUAUCUUUUAGAUGUUGAUGGUCACUUGCACGUGCCAUAGCGGAGGUCUAAUGGUCUCAAGGAGGAUUUUAACUUUGUAUUUUGGAGCUUAUAAGGCAUUGUAGGAUCUGGCCUGCCCUGACUCCACUUUACCAGAACCAUCUGCUGCUCUUCUCUCUUGUGUUACUCAAGGUAUUAGCUGCUGUGGCAAAUCAACUCUGAAAUCUCCGUGACUUAAUACAAGAGAGGUUUAUUUCUUACUCACGCUGGGUGCACUGCCACUUGGUAACAGAGGAGCUAUGGAAACUUGAGACCUAAGCAGAAAUGAGUUCAAUAAUAUUGCUACACUCUAGGACUUUCUCCAAAAUUAACAACAGAACAAAAGUGCAAGGCAGUGAUAACCCAUCUGACAGCAUUUGGGGAGUGUUUGUGAAAGCAAUGGUGAUGGAGGUUUUAAAAGAAUGUCAGAUCAUAUAAGCAAGAAUGUUGAUGAACAUAGCUUGGGACCAAGACGGCUUCAUUUUGAUCCCAAGGCCUGCUGACAAUGUGCUGAAAGGAAAGAGGAUCUUCAAUUUUUUUAAAAACAGGAAUGAUUUGGUGUGUUCGUUCUUAACAAUUGUUAAACAACAUAAAAUGUGAUUCUUAUACUUAAUUUUUGUCUCUCAAAGUUAAAGUAAUAGGAGGUAACCACACAGUUGGAAAUUUGCUGAUAUACAUACAAAUGAUGUCAUAAAAAUUGGGGAUGUUUAGAUAAAAAUCAGGGUUAGACUGACGUGUUUAACUCCAAAGCUUUCUACACCUGGAAGACAUUACUCAAGCCCUGUUACAGUGCUAUGAUACUAAUUAGUGCCAAUACCCUCCAAUAAUUUUGAAUUCUUUAACUCUCUCAUUAAUCCUGAUGUACAUUUCAGGAAAAUGAAUUCAUGCUGAUUUGACAUCAAGCAAUAAAUAAAGGCAGUGAAGGACACUUGCCCUUGGUGGAAAGAUGGCAUCUUAGCCAGGCAGCCAGCCGGUCUGUCAACAGCAUUUAUUGAGUGUCUAAUGAGAGAAAGGCCACGAGACAAAGAGGAGACAUGGGCUCUGGCCUUGGGGAGCAGCCAGGGCAAUGACAGAGGCAGAGAAAAGAGUGGAGAUGUGUCUGCCAAAUAUUGGAGAAGCAGCACAUCAGUGAGGGCAACCUGGAGGAGGGGGCGCCUCCCGUUUGCUGGUCACCUUGCGCAUGGCAGCCUAUGCUAAUGGCCUUUUUAUUGGUGAACCUAUCAGAUACUCAAGCAAUGCUGUGAGGGAAAUGGUGCCAACUUCUCCAUGCCUCAGUUUCUCAGCUGUAAAAUGAACUCCACUGAGUGGCUGGGGAGUGGCAAAGCCAGUGUCUGUGCAACUCCUUCCACAGACAGAGGGCUGUCUGUGGUCAGAGGGCACUGAACACUGGCAGGGGCGAGGAAAUGAGAAGAGGGGUGCUUCAGCUACAGCUGUCUAAGACUCCCCCACCUUUCAGGCCCAUUAAGAAAAUGUAAGAUUUCAAAUGAGGGGAAAAACUAUGAAAUUCUCAUUUUAGGAUUUGGCUAAGGAGAUUACAAAAGAAUCACAAUACACACAUUUGGCUUUAGCACAUGUUCAGUUCUGUCACAUUUGUAUGCUUUAUGCUGGUAGAAGGAAAUGUAUAGCUGGAUGCCUGUGUGAUCUAGUAGCUUUUCAAUAGCAUGGCAGGGCGGAGCCCGCUGAUUCUCCAUCGUGUUUCUCUCUAGGUGCACAGCAGUGCAACGUAGGGGUGCCUCCCUAAUGGGUUGCAAAUCUUCAUUUAUUUCUGUUGUGUUCUGGGGAUGAAACCAAUGAAGAGAAGGUGGAGGAAACCCACUCCCCAUUUCCCUGAUGCAGAGAAGGUUCUUCCUUUAUACUCUCAUCAACCCCAUUCUUGGGCCCUAUAUUAAUCCAUUCUUGCACUGCUAUAAAGAAAUACCUGAAAUGGGGUAAUUUAUAAAGAAAAGAGGUUUAAUUGGCUCACGGUUCUAAAGGCUGUACAGGAAGCACAGUGGCUUCUGCUUCUGGGGAAGCCUCAGGAAAUUUACAAUCAUGGCAGAGGUGAAGGAGAAACAGGCACGUCUUAUAUGGCCAAAGCAGGAACAAGAGUGUGGUGGGGGUGGGGGUGCUAAACACUUUUAAAGGAACAGAUCUUGUGAUAACUCACUCUUGCCAUGACAAUACCAAGGGGGAUGGUGUUAAACCAUGAGAAACUGCCCCCAUGAUCCAAUCACUUCCCACCAGGCCCCACCUCCAACAUUGGGAAUUACAAUUUGACAUGAGAUUUGGGCAGAGACACAGAUGUAAGCCAUAUCAUGUCCCUUGGCAAUAACAGCACAGAGGGAUAUUAAUUGGCCUUUGUGAAUACACAGGAGCCAUAAAGACUUUAGUUGUAGCCACAUGAAAUUAUAGACACUGGUUGUAAUAAUAGAAAUGCUUCAUCAAUAAGCUGGUUGUUUAAUUUUGACAAAAGCACAAGAAGUUUGAUUUUCUUCUUUCUCUCUAUUUGGUUAAAGUGACUGAUUUGGAGGAAGUAGGAGUUGGGGCAGAAUGACUGUGUUCUGUCAGACACACUCAGCCUCAGGAAGCCAAGCCAUAGCUCACAUGUUUGGGAAGCAGAGGCCCUCAGAAGAUGGGUAUAACAUAGCCAUGUUUGCCUGCAGAACUUGAAUAUGAGAUAUACUUAUUCUUUAUUUCCAAAUACAGUAUUUUCAAAUAAUUUUCUUCUAAAUUAGAGGAAAUAGGCUUAAAUUUUAGCAUAAUUAGGCUAUUCAUUCACUUAGCAAACACACAUGGAUCACCUAUGGUCAAAUAGAACACCAGGUACUGGGGAUCGAGAAAAUCCUGUCUGGCCCUGUCCUCAAGGAGCUCCAUCUAUGGGGAAGAACAUAUGUAAAGUGUGUAGAACCCACUGUGAUACCUGUGGAUAGUAGAUGUGUGUACAAGGUAACUUGGUUGUCCAGAAGAGAUCACAGUUCUUGGCAAACAUGUUUACGUUACUCUAGGAUGUGGCUUUGGACAGAUGUUAUAAAACAAAGUGAAUGACUUCUUGGCUUGGAGGCUGUAUAAAGUUCCAUUCUAGUUUACAAGUGUUAGUUCUUAUCUACGGAACUUAGGUGUUCCAUAGUUGCUGCAGGCUAAUGUGUGGAAAUGGGAUCCGAGAGGCUUGGAGGUGCAAGGUUUGAAAUUGCUUAAAAGCUGAAUAUGUCCAUCUUCUUCAUUCCCACUGCAGGUUAUCCACCUGUAAGUGGAGAAACAUUUCUGAUCUCACAAGGGACACAUAAACGGAGGACUGGCCUGACUGAAUCUCUGAAUGCUGGAAGUUGCCAUGACUCCAGUAGGAAGGGAAGGAAAGCUAUCUAUCAGAAUUGUGAGGGGCCAAAUAGGAGGCAAAUGGAUGAGCAUAUUGUACAAUACUCUCCUAAACUUUAGGGAGUGAAGUGUAUGUCGAUCAGCCAAGUCAUAAUUCUAAUGGACUGGGAAUUUUGGCUCAUUAAAAUAGUCCUAUGAAUAAAACCAAAACAUACAAUUUUAAAGUAAAAAAAAAAUGGAACCUGAGUCAAAUCAAACCAGAUUUAAACUAACAAACAAAACAAACAAACAAACAAAAAGAACCAGAGUGUCACUAGAAGAAAUGGUAACCAAAAUGGAAGAAGAAAAGAAGUAGCAGAGGAUCUUAAGUUUGUUUUUGUUUUUCUCCUUUUCAUAAUGGAAAAUCUCAAUCAUAAUAAGAAAUAGAGGGACUGGUGUGAUAAAUCCUCGUGUGUACUUAUCACCCAGCUUCAAUAAUUUUAUUAGCUCAUGACCAAGCUCGUUUCAUUUAUACCACCCCAUUUCCCCACCCUGCUGCACCCCCACUGGCCCAGGGAUUGAGAUGGUAAUUUUGAAUGUGAAAUCAGGCAUAUCCAGGAAGGAGAGCAGUGGGCAAGGAGGAAUCUGUGCCAAUUGUGAGGAUGUGCCAUUUGGCACCAAGUGAAGAGGUGGCAUCUGUAUCUGUAUCUUGUGCUUGUUUGUCCCUUUUUUUGCUUCCAAACUUUUUGUUUCUUUCUAGUGCUUAGAGUUAUAGAUUAUAGGAAGUUGACUACAAGUGUUUUAGGUGUUUUCUGCUUUAAUAACCGUAUCUGAAAAGAAGAAGGGAGGGAGUGAGAGAGCAUGGUAAGAUGGAACAAGGGUUGUAGGACUGAGGAGCAAGGCACAGAGAUUAAGCUUGCAAGUGGCCAAUCCAGCCCUUGGAAGAUGGGCAGAACCUACCCUAGUCCCAGCCCCCUUCCCUCUACCUUCAUUUCCUCCAUGCUCCAGGCAGACAGGCUGAACCACUGUCCAUUCCCCAAUAACCCACAUUCUCUUGACUCCAAGUUUCUUCAAAUGCUGUCACUCAGCUUCAAAUACCACCUCUUCCUUUUAUCUUGCCAGUGACUCCUCCAGUCUCAGCUCUUACACCACUUCCACUAUGAGGUCCCUUAGCCCCAAAGUGGCUGGGUGGAGCACCCUUUCUAGAUCCUCUCCAGCUUCCUGUAGUCAUCCGCAAUGGAGCACUUUCCACAUUGUUGUGUAACUCCCUGUGUAAUCACUUGUCCUGCCCAACAAUGGGGAUUCAAUAAGACUAGAGCUGUGAUCAUUUUGUAGUUGCACCCCCAGUGUAUGCCCAGUGCCCAGCAUAUAAUAGAUGCCAAUAUAAUUGUAAAGAAUGCAUAAUAAACUGAAAAUAGAAUUUGUAGUAUAUGCAGCAAUGCAGACCUAAGAAUAGAGAGUGAUCCAGGGCCUCCUUUGUGGGAAUCAGAUAAAAAGUGACUUUUUUGAGAACAAAUGCCACCCCCAAAUUAGGACACACUAUGUAUGGGCUGAAUUUCAGUCCUCUCUGGUUUCUUUAGUUAGGUGUCCUUGUGCAAUGAACAACCUGCCCAACCACAUCCAGCAAAUAUGGAAGGAUCUUUACACCAAUGGUUUUCAACUCUGGCCACGUGUUAGAAAAACCUGGGUAACUUUUUGAAAUUGUCCCGGUCCAAGCCCCAAUCUCAGAGAAUUGGAUUUAAUUGAUCCUGGAGCAUGGGUUUUAAGGUCCCUCCUGGUAUUGCAGCCUGAAUUGAGAACUACAGCUUUAGAUCUACUGUCAUGAUCAUCUCACUCUAGGCUGUAUUACAGACGUGUGUUUGCCUCUCAUAGGCAUCCCGAUGGGGUUCACGGUCCAGCUGAAAUGCUAACGGCAACACCAAUCAUUGGCACUUCUAGAUUUACUGCCAGGAGUCUUUGCCUUUAUCACCCAACCCCAGAUGUCUAGGCAUGUCCCCAUGGCCUGUCCCUCACUGAAGAGAGAGCUAACAGGCAGCUGCACCACUACCCUGACCUGCAACUUAGGAUUAUGAAGGGAAGAGUUCUGAAGUUAAGUCCUUGCCCAACCCAUACCUGGUAUGUGACCUUGGGGAAGUUAUUAACAAUUCCCUGCUUCAGUUAUCUUGUCCAUAAAAGUAACUAAUGGUACGGGUCUACUUACCUGAAAUGGCAUAAGCUUUAAUGAGCAAAUAAUUGUAAGCUGCUCCAUAAAAUAAAUUGUUGUGCAGUUGCUAAAUAACCUCAUUGUUUAAAACUCCAUAGAAACCUAUGCUAUUCCUCUGAAUUUUUACAAUAACUAUUUGAUUUAUGCAUACAAGACAUCAUUUGCCUAAAAAUCCUUUCUUAUAUGGGCAUUCUCUUUGAUUUAUUCUCUUUCACUCUGCCAGCACACAACCUGACAUAUGUAUAAAGGAUUUGCAAGAAAAAUCACUUAAUGCAUAGCAUUUCCUUUGUUGUGACUGUGUUAUCAUGAACUGUUAUAGUUGUCACUUAUUCUCAGAAUUGUUUGUCUAGUUUUUGUUCAGGCUUAUAAAUACUCACCUUGGACAUGGUUUAUAGACAGUGUAGGGAAAACAAAUACAUAUGCUGGAAUAGUCAACUUAGAUUUAUUCUUACUUAAGAAAAAAAAGGCUUAAAGGUUUAAUGUGUGCUUGAUAAGCUAUAAGUCAGCCAGAAAGAUGCAAGCAGUUUAUAUUUACUCUCCUGUGUAGACUCGACAUUUACAGUUUCAGCCUUUCUCAGUACUUCUUCAGCAGGUUAUGUCUUUCCCAGAAGAACUGAUCUCAAAGCACAAUUUCCAAGAAUGCUAUUAAAAGAAGAGUAGGGACUUUUCGCCAACUACAUAUUGUGGAGGAGUGGAACAUGAACAUGAGGGACUCAAGAAUUUGAGUGUUUGUUAACGUACCUUGAGUGGGCUUGACUGAGGCUGCUCAUAGUGUCUUUACAAGUCUGUGAAGAAAGUCUGCAGUUGGUAAUGCCCCCCCGCCAAUCUUUUGGCAGCAACCUCCACUCCUAGAACAUUACCUUUCCUAUUCCAGAAGAAAGCAAUUAAUAUUGCUGGGCAGGAGUCAACACUCUAAAGGAGCCUGGGCUUUGGGUCUGCUCUUUGGAGAAUUCCUCAGGAAACUGGUGCUAAAACAAGGGGUCACAUUUCAUCGCCUUUUGCCAGAGAUAUAGUGUGGUGUGGUAUGGAGACACAGGGCUCAACUUUUGGUUCACACUCUGAGGCUUUGGACAGGCUUUGGCACUUCAUUUUUCUAAUCCUCUAUUUCCUAAUCUGUAACAUGAAGAUACAAAUACCCAAUAGGUUUAUUGUGGGGGAUAAAUGACAUCACCUACGUGAGAUGUCUAACAUCAUGUUAAGCACACGGAAGAAAUUCUUCAAAGGUUUGCUAAAUUUGAAUUAUAAAAUAUCCAGGAUCUUAAUCCACAGAGAAGAGAUACAUUAAAAAUGAUAGACAGGGUAAUAUAGUGGAAAAACAAUAGGCUUUAGUUUCAGAAGAGUUGAGUACCUGUCUCUGUCAUCAACUAGCUGUGUAACCUUGGGUAAGUUAAGUAACUUACUACUUAACCUCCCUCAUCCAUCAUUUCCUGAGUUGGAAAAUGAGAAAAAUAUUGUCCAUCACAUAGGGUUACUAGACAGACUAAAUAAGAUAACACAAGUGAAUUCCUGAAAAAAAUGGAAGAAUUUGAAAGGGUCAAUGAUAAUGGUUUGUGUUGUAUCAGUUUUAGGAAGCAACUCUUCUAUACCCUUUCAAUCAGUGAUGGAUUAGAGAUUUUUUUUCUAAUUUUAACAUUGCUAAAAAGCAAUGUUUUCUUUAUAGACCAAAAGGAAGUCUAUUAACUGUAACUGAGGUCUGUUACUAGCUACUAUUCUUCACUAGUAAAAUAUAUAGAUCAAAUUCUUUAUACAAGGUUGGUGUUUCUCUUAGCCACAAGAUGACACAGCAGCACUGAUUAAGGCCUCCUUUCCUCUCAUAGCAUGUUACUAGGUUGUUUCCUUCAUGGUUACUAAUUUCAUAUGACUUCACGGGCUGAUUACAUAUUUAUGUAUUAUUUAUUAUGCAAAUCUAGCAUUAUACAUUAUUUAAAACCAUAUUAAUAGUAUGUAUUAUUUAUGAUGGAACUGUAUUAAUAUACAUUAUUUCAAGUAUCUUUGGCUAGGGCUUUUUUUUUCCUGUGGAUUUUGGUCAUUAGAAGUUAGUAUUCUACUCAAGAAUCAAUACAGCUCUCCUGGGGACAUUACCAUCAAGUUCCUUAUCAUUGCAACUUCUGCAUAGCCAUUGUCUGUUAAAUGACUCUAACAUUAAGAGGCAAAGCCUACAGGGCUCUGACUGCCUAGGAUUAUGGCUAUGCAAUGCCACUCCUUUAAAAAAUUGUGAAGUAGUUUUUAUGCCAUUAAGAUUCCACCUCCUCUGAUGGCAGCCUUCAUUCUCAGAACAUCAUCUUUCUGAUUGUGGAAGAAAGCAGUUGGAUAAAUCUGAGAAACUGAGCCAUGGUAAAAUACAUCAAGUAGGAUGUAUUUGGCUACAAGCCUAAAAAAUAGUGGCUUACGUAUUGAGAAUGUAUAUUAUCUCACCUAAUAGGAAGUUUAAAGGUAGGUGAGCCCAGGGAUAGUUCUGUGGUUUAAUGUGGGGGUCAGCUUCUCUAUGAUUCUCCUCUCUUUACUUUCUGUGUUUGACAGUAUUACUCUAGAUUGUUGCCACAUGGAUGUAAGUUGGUUGACACAUCCAAGCAUCAAAUCCUCUCACAAAAAUCUUCAAAUGAAAGAAUGAAACAGGGAAAGAGAAAGCUUUGUUUUAUCUUCAGCUCUAAGUUUUAUCUGGGAGAAAAUCUUUUCCAGAAAUCCCCCAGCAGACUGGGACACAUACCUACACCUUGGCCAAAUCAUCAACAAAGAAUAAUAAAACUGCCUCCUUUUUUUCCCAUGGCAUGGAACAAGCUAUUGCAUUCCCUGAGGAUUAGAACCUUCAAAUUAAAGCAAAAUUGGCUCUGUUAGCAAGGAAAGAGGGAUAAUAGUUAUUAGGUGGGUAGCCAUAAAUAUCUGUCAUGAGGUGCUAGGAAUUUAGUUGGUCAUUCUUUAUGAUAAAAUUUACAUUUAAAAGAUUGAGAUUUUUAAAAGAACCUAGACUAUUUUUAAUUUGCUGCCAAGACGGAAUAACAGGGACAUGAUUUACUUUCUCAUCUGAAAACCCAGAAAAAAAUGUGAUCCAAUGAUUUUCAUGACAUUUGACAGCAGGGAAUGAAGGAUGGUGAUUACCAAGAGACAACAAACAAAUAAGGUGAGACCUAGAAGAAUGCUAGAGAAAAGAUUGACCAUGUUGAAUAGACUCAUGGAAGAUAUUAAGAAGACCCAAAUAGAACUUCUAAAAUGUCUGAGAUGAAAAAUAUGCUGGAUGAGAUUAAUGGCACAUUGGAGUCUCUGGAUGAGUGAGGGAGAUAUGGAAAAAAUAUUUGAGUAAAUAAUGGCCAAAAUUUUUCCAAAUUUAAUGCACACUACAAAUUCACAGAUACAAGAAGCUCAGCAAACUCCAAGAAUAAAAAGAAAGAAAAAAGAAAAUAACUCCAAGGCACAUCAUAAUAAGAUUUCUUAAAACUUGUGACAAAGAUAAAAAUUUUAAAGCAGACAGAUAAAAAAGAUAAGUACAGAGGAAAAAGCAUAGGUAUGACUGCAGAUUUCUCCCUAGAAACAACGUGAGCAAGAAGACAAUGGAGCAACAUUUAAAAUGCAUUGAAAGGAAAAAUUUUAAAAAACCUAACUUUAAACCUGAAAUUCAUAACCCAGCAAAAAUAGAUUUCAAAAAUUAAGACAAAAGAAAGGAUUUUUCAGAUAUAGGAAAGUUGAAAUAAUCUAUCCCCAGCAGACCUGUAUUAUAAGAAAUGUAAAGAAAGUUCUUAAAGCAGAAGUAAAAUGAUAUUAGAAGACAAUUUGGAAUUAAAAGACUUGAGAAUGGUAAUUACUUGGGUAAAUAUAGACAUUUUCUUAUCUAAAUUUCUUAGAAGCAUAAUUGCUUGCUUAAAUAAAAAAUAAUAACAGUGUAGUGUGCACUUUAUGGCAUCUAUAGAAGUUAAAUGUAUAACAACAAUAGUACAGUGGCCAGAAAGGGAGAAAGGAAGCAUACUGCUGAAAGGCUUUUAUACUAUACAUGGAGUGAUAUGCUAUCACUUGAAGGUAGACUGUGAUAAUUUUAAGAUAUAUAAUAUAAUUCUCUGAUAUCAUACCAUGAAGAAACUAACCACCUGCUUGUUUACAGUUGAUUAAAUUGAACUCCCUUCUAACUUGGGAAGGGCAACUGUAUAUCUUGAUUGAAACUGGCACACAUUCUGAGUACGAGUUUGCCUUAUAGAGUGUUUGAUUCACCAACACAAGAUUGUGCAUUACAUCACAUUUGACCAUGGGACCCACUUUCCUACAAGGGAGAUACAAUGCUAUGCACAUGACCAUAGGAUGCACUUUUUAAAAAAUGAUACAUGAUUGUUGUACAUAUUUUGGGGAUACAUGUAAUAACUUAAUACAUUCAUGUAAUUUGUAGGAUAAAAUCAGUGAAAUUGGGGUAUUCAUUUCCUUAAAUAUUUGUCUUUUCUUUAUGUGAGAAACAUUCAAGUUAUUCUCUUUUAGUUAUUUUGAAAUGUGCAAUAGAUAAUUGUAAACUAUAGUCAACCUACAAAUGUAUCAAACACUAGGUCUUAUUUCUUCUAUCAAACUGUAUACUUGUACCUGUUAAUAAGCCUAUCUUAAUCCCCCUCUUCCCACUACCCUUUCCAGCCCCUGGUAACCACCAAUCUACUCUCUGUUAUAAGAUCCACUUUUUUAGUUUCCACAUAUAAGUGAGAAUACAUAAUAUUUGUCUUCCUGUACUUGGUUUAUUUUGCUUAACAUAAAGACCUCUAGUUUCAUCCAUGUUGCUGCAAAUGACAGAAUUUUAUCCUUUUUUUUAAUAUAUAAAUGUAGAAUAUUCCAUUGUGCAUAUAAUCACAUUCUCUUUAUCCAUUCAUCCAUUAAUGGGCACUUAGGUUAAUUGCGUAUUUUGGCUAUUGUGUAUAGUGCUGCAAUAAACAUGGGAGUGCAGCCAUCUCUUUCAUAUAUUGAUUUCUUUUCCUUUGGCUAUAUAUAUAGCAAUGGAAUUGCUGGAUUAUGUGAUAAUUCAUUUUUAGUUUUUUGGGGAAUCUCCAUUCUGUUUUCCACAGUGGUUAUACCAAUUUACAUUCCCACCAAAAGUGCAGGAGGGUUCCCCUUUCUCUAUUUUCUGUCUUUUUAAAAUAAAAGCCAUUUUAACUGGAGUGAGAUGCUAUCUUAUUGUGAUUUUAAUUUGCAUUUCUCUGAUAAUUAGCGAUAUUGGGCAUUUUUUUCAUGUACCUCUUGGCCAUUUGUAUGUCUUCUUUUAUGAAAUGCCUAUUCACAAUAAUUAAUAGCUUACCAACCAAAAAAAGUCCAGGACCAGACAGAUUCACAGCCAAAUUCUACCAGAAGUACAAGGAGGAGCUGGUACCAUUACUUCUGAAGCUAUUCCAAUCAACAGAAAAAGAGGGAAUCCUCCCUAACUCAUUUUAUGAGGCCAGCAUCAUCCUGAUACCAAAGCCUGGCAGAGACACAACAAAAUAAGAGAAUUUUAGGCCAAUAUCCCUGAUGAACAUCGAUGCAAAAAUCCUCAAUAAAAUACUGGCAAA
rnacentral:lncRNA from 1 species